GAGUUUGAUCAUGGCCUCAGAUUGAACGCUGGCGGCAUGCCUUACACAUGCAAGUCGAACGGCAGCACGGGAGCUUGGCUCCUGGUGGCGAGUGGCGAACGGGUGAGUAAUGCAUCGGAACGUAUCCUGGAGUGGGGGAUAACGUAGCGAAAGUUACGCUAAUACCGCAUAUUCUGUGAGCAGGAAAGCGGGGGGACCUUCGGGCCUCGCGCUCUUCGGAGCGGCCGAUGUCGGAUUAGCUAGUUGGUGAGGUAAAGGCUCACCAAGGCGACGAUCCGUAGCAGGUCUGAGAGGAUGAUCUGCCAC
rnacentral:rRNA from 1 species